CCUACGGGUGGCAGCAGUGGGGAAUAUUGCACAAUGGGGGGAACCCUGAUGCAGCAACGCCGCGUGGGUGAAGAAGUACUUCGGUAUGUAAAGCCCUGUUAGCAGGGAAGAAAAUGACGGUACCUGACCAAGACGCACCGGCUAACUACGUGCCAGCAGCCGCGGUAAUACGUAGGGGGCAAGCGUUAUCCGGAUUUACUGGGCGUAAAGGGAGCGUAGACGGUAAAGCAAGUCUGGAGUGAAAGGCCGUGGCUCAACCACGGGACUGCCUUGGAAACUGUGUUGCUGGAGUGGAGGAGGGGUAAGCGGAAUUCGUAGUGUAGCGGUGAAAUGCGUAGAUAUUAGGAGGAACACCGAUUGCGAAGGCGGCUUACUGGACUGUAACUGACGUUGAGGCGCGAAGGCGUGGGGAGCAAACAGGAUUAGAUACCCCGGUAGUC
rnacentral:rRNA from 1 species